CGGCUCCUUCAGCGGGGCGCGGAGCUGAGGGCGGGCGAUGCUCGGGGCUCCGCGGAGCUCCGCGGCCGCCGGGCAGCGCCAUGAACCUGGGCGAUGGACUGAAGCUCGAAACUGAAGUGCUGGAUGGAAAGCCUAGGCUAAUUUUAGCUUCUUCUGAUAAAUCAAAGCCCGCCAUGAAGAUGGGCAAUAAAGCCAGAGCACCUAAACAAUCAUUGAGAAUAAAGCACACUGGACUAAUCUUGAAGCCAACACAAAAUGCUUGUAUCAAGCAGGAAAAUGUAACAAAACCAAGGAGUGAAUCAAGCUUAUCAAUGACAAAAGGUGAAAAACUGCAAGUUAAUAAACACUCCUCGCAUGAAGCCACAACUAAAAGUUAUUCUUUGAUUUUCCAAAGAGAUAAGGCAAACAGAUAUCCUGAUCCAGAGGAUCUUAGUAUUGUGAAAAAAACUAAACACAAACCUCAAGCCCCACAUGUAUCAGCUGAAAACUUACAAAGUUUGGUGUGUUUAACACAAGCACAGCUUCAACAGAUUUUGACGAUUGUUAAAGAAGGAAGAAGCAUCUCUGAGACUCAUAAUGAAAAGCAAGAGGAAAUGGCUACUAAUGAGGCAUCGAAGGAAAAUGUUACAGCAUCACUCCAGAAAGAUUGUGAAGUGUCCCCAGUUCCAGAUGAAGCAAACUCUGAUUCAGGCAGGAAACAAGAAGCACAUCCACAGCCAGAACACAAUGUUAUAAAGGAUUCAUGGAAACCUGCUGACUUGUUUAGUACCUUGGGUGAAAGAGAAGGGGAGAAAGCCUUAUUGGAAUUUAAGAAGACCCAAUGGAAGAAGGAGUUAGAUGAACAGGUAGCACUGAAGAAGAAGCUGAAAGAAACUCUGGAGGGAGAGGUGGGUUAUUUCUGGGCAAAACUUGGCAGUAAGAAAACCCCUAAAAUGGAAACACCUGACCCAGACCAGACAGUGCUUCCAGCUGACUCAGUUCAUGGCACUGAGGAGAACUCUGCCUGUACAGCUGCUUUAGCCACAGAGGCUGAUGGAGUUGCACUGAAUGUUCCAAGAGCUCCAGCUGGGCAGUCUUCUGAUUUCAGUCCUUCUGACUUUCCAGCUGGCAGUUGCACAGCUUUCAGGGCAGAAGAGCAUGACAGAUGGGAAAUGCACUUUGAUUCUUUUAAGAACCACUUUAAUGCUAAUGCACAACACCCCUUAAAUGGAAUGCACAGAAAGCCUGAAAGUCUUUCUUUGUCACCUGACCCCAAGGACCCGACUGCUUUCAUUCACCCUUCGUCCCCUGCAGCUUUAGGCAACCUCAUGCCCUUACAGAUGGGAACUGCAGAAAAAGCUGCUAAAAAUGGUGCUUUGGAACAAAGUCAGAGAGUCAGUUUCCUCCGUUCCAUGACGGCUCUGCUGGACCCUGCACAGAUUGAGGAGAGGGACAGGAGGCGGCAGAAGCAGCUGGAACAUCAGAAAGCAAUAAUGGCUCAGGUGGAAGAAAAACGGAAGAAGAAACAACUGGAGGAAGAGCAGAGAAAAUGGGAAGAGCAACAGGAAGAACUGCGCCUGGCACGAGAAAAAGCACAACUGCAGAAACAGUUUGAAGAAGAAAUGCUGAAACAAAAACAAAAGGAGGAACUUGCAACUCUUAAAGCCAAAGAGCUUUAUCAGUCAAUGGAGAAAGCUCAGGAAUUAGCCCAGGGAUCAAAACAAGACCAGCACAUUCCAGACUUGGCUCAAAAGGCACAUGACAUUUCAGAGCUUCAGAACAGUCUUGGUGGUGCACAACGUACUGAUUUCCCUGGAGGUGUGGAGAGCCCCCCUGAGCAGCAGGCCUCCCCUCGGAAGGACACAGCGGUGCAGACAGAUUGCUUUAAUGCUUCAGCAUACACGGAGUCAGCUGAGGAAAGAACUGCAUGUUGUGAGUCACCUGAUAUUUCCAUAGAAUAUAAAGAAAUCUCUAACAUCAAAAAAUACCAAAAGGAAAUGCAGUAUAUGGAUAAAAAUAAACUUCCAGGAAAAGGGACUGGUGGUAUUUACAGUGAUCUAUAUGAGCAAUUUUCAAGAAAAGAAAGGCACGUUAAAUCUUCAGAAAAAUACAGCAAAAGACCUGACUGGAACAUAAACAAGCCUGGGAAAAGAUACAUUCCAGCCUCAGAAAGGUACCCCAAAGCACUGCAGAAACAGAGGGAGGAGAACAAGGUGCGCCGCCAAAUGGAGCUGCUGCAGUUGGUGGAAAGGAACAGCCCUGGGCAGCUCAGUGCAAGAAGGGGAGGGCACUCAGCCAGGUCUCUCUCACCCCGGGAAGAAACAGCUGUGAAGAGUAAGGGCCACAGAGGCAGAAAGGAAGAAAAAUUUCAUAAGAAUCACUUGAGUGAAGAAAGAUCUGAAUCACCUCCUGUUCCAGCAGUCAGGAACAGAUUACUCCAAGCACAACCAAGACAGGUCCAGGCUUCUCAUUUCCUGGUGUGUAACCAGCUGGGUGGAAGAGAGAAGGAGGCCCCGGCAGCCUGGCAGCAGAGGAGCUCCCCCGCGCCCUCCAGCCCUCCCUGGGCGCAGUUCGUGCCCUACGUGCGCACCCGGGAGGUUUUCUGCUUCCCCCCGGAGGCGCCGCCGAGCCGAGCCUCGACACGCCACAGCCACGGCCACAGCCACAGCCACGGUAGUGCCAUCAUCCCGGGAGGGCAGGAAGCUCCCCUCGCAGCGCUGCUGCUUCAGCCAGAUUCUUACCAAACGCCACGACAGAUUUUUAUCUCAGAUCAUGUAAGAGAUCCUCUUCUAAAUCCUGAUGCAGUUACAAUCAGAGAGAGACAACAAGAAAUUCUCAAAGGAUUGUCAAAAUUACGACAGGUCACAGCAGGUAUAGGAGCUAGCAACAGACUCUUUCCUCACUGAAAUCAAAAGUCAGUGGAUAAGCCGAGCAAAGUGAAUUAUUUGUGACAAAGAAGGGACAAAGUUUAAGAAAAAGGACUCGCCCCCAGGGCCUCCUGCAGAAGCAGAAGGAGUUGGAAAACACUCUGAUUCCCAUUGCAGCUCAAGAGAACUUCAUGCCACCGUUUUGAGAGGUGCAUAGGAAUGUUCUGAAUCCUUAAUAUGGAAAUGCACAGCACUUUGCUACUGUAAUUAAUGACAAACCACCUCUAGCUUUUUUAUGAAAAUUAAAUUAUGAGAAUUUUGAUAGACUACAGGGUGAUGUUACAUUUUAUAUUGAAGAUACUUUAGACUCGUGGUGGUUUGUCUGUUUAGAAUGGUUUUCAUGCUACUUGAAGACAAGUGUCAAUUUAAUAUAAGCCACCAAAAACAUGGAAGUAAACUGUUACAUGGGUUUUUGUAGAACUCAGUGUGUGAAUUUUGAUAAAUAAAAAGAUGAAGAUGUA